rnacentral:rRNA from 1 species
UCCCUCCUACGGGAGGCAGCAGUCGAGAAUCAUUCACAAUGGGGGAAACCCUGAUGGUGCGACGCCGCGUGGGGGAAUGAAGGUCUUCGGAUUGUAAACCCCUGUCAUGUGGGAGCAAAUUAAAAAGAUAGUACCACAAGAGGAAGAGACGGCUAACUUUGUGCCAGCAGCCGCGGUAAUACAGAGGUCUCAAGCGUUGUUCGGAAUCAACGGGCGUAAAGCGUGAGUAGGCUGUUUCGUAAGUCGUGUGUGAAAGGCGCGGGUU